rnacentral:rRNA from 1 species
GUCGAACGGUAGACAGCAGAGCUUGCUCUGGCUGACGAGUGGCGCACGGGUGCGUAACGCGUAUACAAUCUACCUGUUACUGGAGUAUAGCCCGAAGAAAUUUGGAUUAAUCCUCCAUAGUAUUAUGAGAUGGCAUCAUUUUAUAAUUAAAACUACGGUGGUAAUAGAUGAGUAUGCGUCCUAUUAGUUUGUUGGUAAGGUAACGGCUUACCAAGACAUCGAUAGGUAGGGGUCCUGAGAGGGAGAUCCCCCACACUGGUACUGAGACACGGACCAGACUCCUACGGGAGGCAGCAGUGAGGAAUAUUGGACAAUGGAGGAAACUCUGAUCCAGCCAUGCCGCGUGCAGGAAGACUGCCCUAUGGGUUGUAAACUGCUUUUAUAGAGGAAGAAACCUCCCUACGUGUAGGGAGCUGACGGUACUCUACGAAUAAGGAUCGGCUAACUCCGUGCCAGCAGCCGCGGUAAUACGGAGGAUCCAAGCGUUAUCCGGAAUCAUUGGGUUUAAAGGGUCCGUAGGCGGGCAGUUAAGUCAGUGGUGAAAGUCUUCCGCUCAACGGGAGAAUUGCCAUUGAUACUGAUUGUCUUGAGUCAUUAUGAAGUGGUUAGAAUGAGUAGUGUAGCCGGUGAAAUGCAUAGAUAUUACUCAGAAUACCGAUUGCGAAGGCAGAUCACUAAUAAUGUACUGACGCUGAUGGACGAAAGCGUAGGUAGCGAACAGGAUUAGAUACCCUGGUAGUCUACGCCGUAAACGAUGGUUACUAGCUGUUUGGACGAUUGAGUCUGAGUGGCUAAGCGAAAGUGAUAAGUAACCCACCUGGGGGAGUACGUUCGCAAGAAUGAAACUCAAAGGAAUUGACGGGGGCCCGCACAAGCGGUGG